GAUGAACGCUGGCGGCGUGCCUAAUACAUGCAAGUAGAACGCUGAAGCUUGGUGCUUGCACCGAGCGGAGGAGUUGCGAACGGGUGAGUAACGCGUAGGUAACCUGCCUCUUAGCGGGGGAUAACUAUUGGAAACGAUAGCUAAUACCGCAUAAAAGUCGACAUUGCAUGAUGUUGACUUGAAAGGUGCAACUGCAUCACUAAGAGAUGGACCUGCGUUGUAUUAGCUAGUUGGUGAGGUAACGGCUCACCAAGGCGACGAUACAUAGCCGACCUGAGAGGGUGAUCGGCCACACUGGGACUGAGACACGGCCCAGACUCCUACGGGAGGCAGCAGUAGGGAAUCUUCGGCAAUGGACGGAAGUCUGACCGAGCAACGCCGCGUGAGUGAAGAAGGUUUUCGGAUCGUAAAGCUCUGUUGUAAGAGAAGAACGAGUGUGAGAGUGGAAAGUUCACACUGUGACGG
rnacentral:rRNA from 1 species